UACACAACAAAGCCUCAGCUGAUUGAUGCUAAAAUAAGCAGUUAUGCAACAAGUAAGAAAUACGAUCUCCGGGGAAGGAGCCAGCAACCUUUUCCUUUCAUCUUCACUCACCAGUGCUUAUUUUUGCAUACCUAAGGGAAAAAAUAGACAACCUUUUGACAUGGAGCGCCGAUGUUCAAUUAUCAGAUGCUGAAGUGAAGGAACCCGCAGGGCUCAGUGCUGUCCCUACAAGGGUCCCCCCCGAAGCACCAUGGUGCCGCUGCUCCCAUCGCCUCGGGGCUGCUGCUGGGCUGUGGAGGGAGCAGAGCGCGGCACAACCUGUAGGGAAUACAUUGAUUUCGUGGGUGAGUGGGCUCAGUGUACAGCUGUGGUUACAGAACUGCUCAAGCUUCCGAAGAAUGAGAGUACCAUGGAAUCAUAGAACGGCUGGGCAUGAAGGGACCUGGCUGAUGCCCUAGUCCCAGUGCGCUGCCCUAGGCCGGGUGCCCUCCAGCUUGGGGUGCCCAGUGCCCCAUCCAUGGCCUUGAGCACCUCCAGGGAUGGGGCAUCCUGUGUAAGAGUUCAUCUCAGAACACUUGUGUUGGGUAAAACUGGUCAAGAGGACUUGGGAGCCCUGAAAACUUUCUGUGCAGAUGGGAGAGGAAGGGCCAGGUGCCUCGCUGCCAUCACGCUGGGUUCCUGCAUUAUCUGCUACGCCAGCCAGGUCCAAGGGAGUGUGAGAGGUCCCCAGAUGGAAUGAAAACUCAGUGUUAUUUUGGAGACCUCUGGAAAUGAUCUAUUCAGCCCUAUGUUAGCUAGUGACAAAGGCCCGCUCCUCACCUGCUGCACCCACCUGGCGCACGGGAGGACCAGCUCUGGUGACAAAGAGCUCACAGAGACCCUCAGAAGCACGUGUUUGCUCACUUAUUCCCAUAGAUAUCCUCUUCCAGUAGCCAGGAGAACGCAAAGUGACCCCUUGGCCUGUGACCUCAGCUCCUGCCAAGGAGCAGGGCAGCACACGGCCCGGGGGGAGCACAGAGGUGCGCACAUCUCGCUGCAUCUGUACCCCAGGUGGGGCUCGCCAAGACCCCAGGUAUAAUUGGGAUAUCAAGUUUUUAUUAAAAUAUGUGUUAAUUAGGAGAAUAGCAAGCAGAUGCAGUAGAAGGAAAAAGAGCAAGCUCCGUUCUAAGUUAUAAUAAUCAUCGCUCCCAUCUUUGAGAAUAAACUAACAACAGAAAGAUCAAGGGCGAGAUGGCUGCUAGGGCUAUCACACAAACGAAUCCUUUUGCUUUGUCAGUCAUUCUGCACAAUUCUUUUCCUCUCUGAAGCCAAGGAAAAACGCUGCUCUUACAGGAGAAUUUGAUUUGGCGGAUCAGUGGAUAGAGAGAUUUGGUUUGCAUUCUCAGUUACCUCCACUAGCUGGAAAUUCGGCAUCCAAAUAAACUGUAAACAUACAAACAAACAAAAAACGACGACAAAACAACCCCAAGCAGAUACAGCAUUACAAAGCCCAUCCCUGGAGGGCUAGCCCAAAACUCACUCAAGCUCACAAAACCCGCCCCUUGGUGCUCAGCACUGCCCAGAACCCCCCUGGGUUUACCCCUCCUGCGGCUGCAUCCCGCUCUGUGUGCAGCAGGCAGCCCCUUCCUGCGGGUCCCUCUGCCUCACAGAACACGCAAUUACCCCCCAAUUAAAACAAACAAACCAACAAACAGAAAAGGUUAAAGAUACGAGUCACCAUUCAACGCGCCUUUGAGCGCAUCCUAUGCCAAACAAUGCACGCACCGGGACCGCAAUUAAUCGGCGCUCCAUGGAUUCCCUGCAGACGCUGGGUUUAUAACCAAGUUAGCUGGUUCGCUGUAUUUCUCUGGAGUUGGAGGGUGUGAAAAAGACAUUUCCAUUUCAUUGACUAAGUUCCCAAGGGGGGAGUUUAUGAAAGUGCAAGUGCAUAAUUUACUGCCUGACAGGAGAAAGAUGGUAUCUGCUGCUUAAAAAAAAUAGUGUACCCUGAAAAACAGAGUCGUUCCAACACACACUUGUUUUCCGUAAGUACCGUGUUUUAGAAGCAUUUAAUUUAGCUUGGAAGCGCUGUAAAAAAUAUAUGCAUUGUAAAUUGCAGCUGCAUAACGCGAUAUUUAUCAGGUAAUGUCACCGAAUAGUCUCCUGUUGCAAUAUAAAUGCCAAGGCACUUAUGGAAAAUAAAUGUUGAAGGAGAGAGCUUUCUUUUCAAAGUGGAAAACCAUUAUCUCAUCCCAAGUUCAUAAAUAAGGAGCUGAGGGGCUGCUCCCGGGGCCAGCUGUGAGCAGGCCAUGGAUGCUCGGCUCAGCUCAGUGCUGGGGCAGCACCAGGCAGGAAAGGAAGGGAUGCGGAGUGAGGUGGUUCUUGAGACUUCCAGCUUCAUACGAGAUUGAUUUUGGAGAAAAGCGAGCAGGUCUGGCUGUAGGCAGGACGUGGUGCAACGUGUUAGCACACGGUGCCUGCGGGCUGGCUCUUGAAGCCACGUUUUGUCGCACAAAUGCAGGAUCUGGUUUUCAAAGGACGGAGCAGCUCUCAGUGAUCGAGGCCUGGAUCCAGGUGUGCAGGUGCAGCACUGUUUGUGAGGACGGGGUACAAGGGGCCGUUGGGGAGGGGCGGUCAAUGAGGUCUCGGAUCCGGGAUCUCCACCUCGGGCCCCUCUGAAGCAUGAAGCUGCUGAUCCCGUCUGCUCAGCUUGUGCCCACCCCAGAGCAGCCACUGGGACGGCCCGAGCUGAGAGCUCAGGCACCGCUCUUCUGAAAGAAGGAGUGAGAUUCCCAUGCCCCUCUCCUGGCUUCAUGAAUGCGUCCUUGCAAGGCUCGGCUCCUCUUCCAGCUACGGUCUGUGCUGCAUUGUCUGCUCGCUUCUCUCCCUUCCCUAUUUUCUCCCUCUGCCGCUCACUGCAUUUUCUUUUGGACAAUGUAACCCGCUGGUCCUCUGCAGCAGCCGCAUUCGCAGCAAAUUGCUGUUUAUUUCCUCCGCUCACCUCCCUCCAUGGAAGAGCACACUGCAGCCUGCCCCUGUCACAUCGCAUCCCAGGCGACGCGUCAGAAUCUCACACUGGAUGUGCCGAGCUGAGCUGAAUUAUUCGUUUUUCUCCACAAACUUCUCUCUGUCCGCUGCCGCUGUCAGAGCAGCGAUGCACACCAGGCGCUGCUCAGGGGAUCUUUUGCCAAAAGCAUUUUAAAUGACGAAUGGGAGCCACAUUGGGAAUACACAAUUCUGCAGGUGCAGCGUCUAAAAUAAACGACUUUUACCUACGAGGAGCAGCUGGGUGGCUGAAUGAACAGGCAGGACUGCUUCCAGGGCCGCAUUCAGAACCACAGAAUCACGGAAUGGUUCCGUUGGAAGGGACCUGACAGCCCACCCAGUUCCAAGCCAUGGGCAGGGACACCCCCACCAGACCACUGGGUCGCAGCCCCAUCCACGGCCUCGGGCACUGCCAGGGAUGGGGCACCCACAGCUCUGGGCAGCAGUGCCAGCACCUCACCCCCACUGGGGAAAGAAUUUCUUCCUCGGUACUGCUGGGAAAGAUCUCACCCUGAGCAUUGCAAGCACAGAGGACCUCGGAGCUGCACAACACAUUUGUAGAACAGCACAGUGAGGACAGGAUGAAAACUCAUUAAGUCAGCUGUCCUGUAGGAUAGGAUUACAGCCCCUUUGCAGCCAUUGAUUUAAGUUUACCUUUGCUCUUUGGAAAUAAGUCGCUACCCAGUGCUGCUGGGCUGCUGAGCCCUUUUCUGGUGAGCUCCAGGGAUGACAGACAACUGUCAAGGCAACAACUGCAUGCCAGGACUUUAACAAUUGCAUAUGCGAUGCAUUCCCCUUUUACAGUGGUCAUAAUCUUCAAAUCAGUUGGAGCUGGCAAUGAAAGUUUAAUAUUAAUGACUUUCUUAUUACGGAUGGAAAAACCUUUCGGAGCUAAUGAGCAGAAACAGGAGCACUUGGCUCCUACCUGGGGAGGUGACUCUGUGGUCAUCAGCGGUGCUGGGAGCAGGGCUGGGGCGAUGGCUGUGCCCAGGGCUGGUGUGCAGGCUGCGCUGGGUGUACCUGGGUGCAGAAAGGGCUGCAGGGAUCUUGGGGAGAAAGCAGCCAGGAGCCCAACCCGCAGCCACCUGCCAGGUGCAAUGCCUCCCCUGCAAUAAACGUUCCUGGGAGCAGCCUCCAGACAAGGACAGCUGUCAAGGUGUGAAAGAAGGGGACUUCAGUUUUAAUCUUGACAGCCAGGGGAAAACAAGACCCAGCAAGUUUCACGUUUCAUUUUCAAGCAGGUCCUAUGGGCGCACGGAAGAGGGUGAUCAGGGGGACGGCGUGUGCCCUUGGGGUGUUGGGCACACGUCGGGCGCACAGUGCCUCGCUGCCGAGCAAAAAUAAACAAAUCCAGCGAACCACAAAACAGAGCAGCAUAUGAUGGGGACAGGUACUUAUGCAAAUAGCUGUUAACACUCAGCCAGACAGAGCUGAUAAGCUCCCGGGCCAGCUGGAGGCUCCCGCAGCCCGCUGAAGGGGGAGGAGGAGGACAGCUUUAGGAUGACAAUAGGAAACCUAAAAGCAGGAGUGAGGCAGCGCUGGGAAGGCUGCACGGGGCUGCAUCGUUUCCUUACUGACCCGCUGCAGCCCGGCCUGGCCAUCACCCCGCUCCCAGAAGCAUCCCUGUGCUGAUGCUCGCCGGGGUCAGCAGUGCCGUCCCCCUGCACACCCGCGGCAGCGAGGAAGAAACCCUCUGCCGUGUGAGGAUGCAGCACGAGGAGCUCAGCAGUGUCCCCCGAGGCUCGCACAGUCCCCGCAGCGCUGGCCAAGCCCCCCAGGAGCACGGCUGAGGCAAAUCCUCCUGCGAUGCUGCUGGGGAUCCCCGAGGAAGCAGCAUCUCUGCCCUGGCUGGGCUGCUGGUAAUCAGAUAGAAGGGGUUUAAAAUAAUCACGUCUAAGCAGCUGAAAUCCACAUUGGAAUAUGCAAUGGGGUCAGAAGACAAGCGGUGCAACCAGAGGAGCUGGGGGGCACCAGGAGGGGCACAGUGCAUGUCAGAGCCAGUAGCCAGGAGUUCGCUCAGCACCCUGCUCCUCCAGCACUGGGUGUCUGGAAACGUGCUUGGAAGGCUCCACGUGUCUUGGGAUGCUGCUCUUGGAAAGACCAGAAAGGACGAAGCAGGGGGAGGGAAGACAAUACACACCAAGCCAGGGAGCCCCCAGGGCUGGGUUCCUUCUUCUCUCCCCAUUGCAUCCAGCAGCACAGCAGCAACCCGAGCCGGGCAGGAUUCUGCUGCUCCAGAGCUGCGCUGCUCCCAGGGCUCAGUCCCAGCAGCUCCUGGGAUGCAGGAAACUCGCCUGCUCCUGCAGCAUCACUGUGCAUGGGGCCCCAGACCGCAGCCCACGGGGGCUCUCUGCAGCCCCCCCACUGCCUCAAGGAGAGGGGAAAGGAGCAGGAAGGAAAGGAGGGCACUACCACUAAGCGCAGGGAGUAUUUACUUUGCAGAUUUCCAGCUCGGGUUAGUGACAUGACGCUGUGAUGCUGAGAGGCUGGAGCUGGGCCUUCCUGUGGUAUUCCCCUAGGAGCAAAAUAUUACUGCGAUGUAAAACUGAAAAUUGAAACAGCCUGGUGAUUCACCAGAGAAAAUGCCUCUCCCUUUUCCCUAUUCAGUGAGGCAGAGACGAAUGUUGUGAGGAUUGAAAGAAAAACUGAAAAAGCCUUUAAUUAAUCCCUGGAGGCAAAACGAUGCCAGAUAUGGACAGGAUUCCUCCUCUGGAGCAGGGAUCUGGAGCUCCGGCUGCAGCGCGGGGCUGGGGGGGCCGAGGCCACUCCCGAGAGAAGCUGCAGCUCGCAGGGACUUUUGGAACUGCUACCUGCUCCGGGGAAACCUUCCAAGUUCAAGGUCAGGUUUGUUUGUCUUCCAUCCUGACAGACACCGAAUGUUUCGCAAUAUUCAGGAAGUCCCUUUUAUCAGCUCCCAUUCAAUUUAUAAGAUUAAGAGCAUGGAAAAACAAAUACUGCUCCUGGAUGGAAAGUGCUGGCAGCGGCCGGGCCAGUGCUGUGUUUGUGCAAGGACUGUUAAUAGGGCAUCUCCUGCUUCCCCGAGCCAGGAGGGGCUGGCUGCAAAGCGUGCUGCUUCUUGUGGGAAGGGAAGGGAAGGGCUGGGCUGGGGGUAACGGCUCCGCUCACUAAAACCCGAUGUGCAAAACGAUGAGUAAAAUCACUUGGUGGGAUGCUCAGCAAAAGCAGAGCUGCAAGUCCAGCUGUGGAAGGGAGCACAAAACCUGAGCACAUGCCAAGCAUGCACCUUCCUUUUACCCACUGCUUUGUGGAGAGCUGCGUUUCUCCUCGAAGCUCAGAGCUGCAGACUGCAUUUGAUUCUGAUUACAGAGUGGCAGUAAUUAAACCUCGGGAGCAUCAAGUUAUCAUUUUAACGAAAUGCCUGGAUUUUAUCAUGAUGUGAAACUGGGAGCGAGAUUCAGAUCUUCGCAGUAACUAAAAGCUGUCGGCUGUUUCGCAGAUAACUUAUUUCCUCCGCUUACAUACGAGAAAAUCCUCCUGCAGUUCGUUUUUCCCCCUUGUGCAGACGCACACCUUCCUCGAGGAAGUUCAGCAAACGCGCUGCUCAGCCUGCACAACCACCACCUGCAGCGCAGCGUGGCUCUUUAAUAACACUUUCCAGCCAAGGACCGGUAUCGCUGUCUCCACGUAAGAAGCACGCUGCAAUGAGCAGCAGAACGCUGCCGGAGCGAGGUUCGGAUUCUCAGCAGCGCGAGCAGAAGGCAACGAGGCUGCGCCCGCUCCGCUUCGUGCAGGCAGCGCUGUUAGGCGUGUUGGUGAGAUCAGUUAUUCUGAUAAUAACACAGUUGCUUGUACAGGAGAUUGGGCUCCGUCACUUUCAAAGGACAGAUGUUGCCACACGGGCUUUCAUCGUUGGCUUUCUGACUAAAGCACGUCCUCCCAGCAACAGGUUUACCGCAAAACGCUUCCAGCUCUCGACGUCUGCAGAGCAGACCACUGCCAUUUCUGAUUCGAGUGAUGGCCAGAGUCGGAAAGGAUAAACCACCGCAAGACAAGAGUUUCUCAUAGUGUUUGUCUGCUAGAAAGUUCUGGAACUGUCGGGAGAAGCCUCACCUGUGUGAAGCCGCUGUCAGAUGAGGAAGCAUUUGGCAGAGUGAAAAGCCAGGGUGAGAGCCACGCUCUGUGAUGCCAAGUUACCAUGAGUGGAGAAACUGCUCCUUUCAGCCUUCACUUCCAAACCAAGCCCGCGUUACGGCAGCCGAAAUGUCCCGGCGAAGCGAGAAGAGGAAGCUGUGCGCAGAGCCACGGCGAUGUGCAUCUGCUGCUGGAGGAAAGCGGCAGCGCCUUCCCAUCGCAGCGCGCCGGCACUCGGGCCAGCCCUGAAUUACAGGGCUGGAGUGAGAACUUCCCUUGUGGUCGCAAAAAAAGAAAGGCUUUAAAAACACCAUUUUAAAUGGUGCCCAGGGGUGUAUUUAAAGAACAGCUAGCCAAAUUCCACACUGCUCCGGGCCCGCUGGAACGCCGCCGGGCUGCGGCGGGGCUGCAAAGCAGAUAAGAAGGCGCAGCGCUCGGCCAAUUAGUUCCAACCAUCAUUAUAUAAUAUUGAUGUCAUAUUGAAUAUACAUAUAUAUUCUGGCGCAGCGGCUGAAAUUAAAUUGAUUUAUUAAGUUGAUACCACGCGCCGAUGCCAAGCUACCAGGUAAUUGAUCGGCUGCCUCGAAUGAACUCCAACAUGUAAUUUCCAGCGCAAUUUGACUGAUCAGCAAUACCAUAAUUGGUUGCAAAUGUCCUUCCUUCUAUUUGUUUUGUUAAGUGGCUUUUUCAUUAACGCACUGGAGCCAAGUAAAUAAAUGUGACUUUACUAUUGGGCUGGAAGCAGACAAUAGUUGAGAAAUGGAUCCAAACCGGGACAGGGCUGCGCGAUGCUGUACAGCCAGCUCUCGUUUUUUAUAUUUUCCCAGUUUUGCCGUGUUUUGUGUUUGCUUUAGAAUAGAAUUCCUUUUAGCAAAAGGGACUUGGCUGACACUGCGCUCCGCAAAACGCGGAUCUGUUGGAUUUAUGCCCCCAAAUGCCUUAAGUCGACAGGUUUGUUAGGAAGCCAAGCUUAGCUCGUGGCCCUCAGGUGUCCCUGCUGAGAGAGCACACCGAGUCAGGUCCCCAGGAAGGGGCACCUCAGCAGCACACAGAGCCCUGCUGCUGUGCAGAGCGAGCAGGACCCGGGGUGCUCGAUGGGAAUAGAAAGGUGGAAGUACGCUGCAGCAGCCGCAGCUGUCCCAUCGAGCAGCGAUAUACAGCACCAGCUACCUCGUGUCAUUCCCAGUUUCCAGAAUGUGCCCAGAGCAUUGCUUUCUGGGUGUGUAAUUCCUCAGUACAUGCUCCGCAAUGCUUUCCCCAGCUCUUUAUUUUAUCCCCCCCUAUUGAUUACGGCCCAUUUCUGGGUAUAGUCUAAGCGCUGGUAACCGCGUGAGUCUGGGCGAUGAAUUGUGGCUAUCUGGUGACUUCCCAGCAAUGAAACAUUAUUGCAGACCUUUCACUGAGUCACCACAACGCAUUACAGGA